GCGUACCUUUUGUAUAAUGGGUCAGCGACUUAUAUUCUGUAGCAAGGUUAACCGAAUAGGGGAGCCGGAGGGAAACCGAGUCUUAACCGGGCGUUAAGUUGCAGGGUAUAGACCCGAAACCCGGUGAUCUAGCCAUGGGCAGGUUGAAGGUUGGGUAACACUAACUGGAGGACCGAACCGACUAAUGUUGAAAAAUUAGCGGAUGACCUGUGGCUGGGGGUGAAAGGCCAAUCAAACCGGGAGAUAGCUGGUUCUCCCCGAAAGCUAUUUAGGUAGCGCCUCGUGAAUUCAUCUCCGGGGGUAGAGCACUGUUUCGGCUAGGGGGCCAUCCCGGCUUACCAACCCGAUGCAAACUGCGAAUACCGGAGAAUGUUAUCACGGGAGACACACGGCGGGUGCUAACGUCCGUCGUGAAGAGGGAAACAACCCAGACCGCCAGCUAAGGUCCCAAAGUCAUGGUUAAGUGGGAAACGAUGUGGGAAGGCCCAGACAGCCAGGAUGUUGGCUUAGAAGCAGCCAUCAUUUAAAGAAAGCGUAAUAGCUCACUGGUCGAGUCGGCCUGCGCGGAAGAUGUAACGGGGCUAAACCAUGCACCGAAGCUGCGGCAGCGACACUGUGUGUUGUUGGGUAGGGGAGCGUUCUGUAAGCCUGUGAAGGUGUGUCGUGAGGCAUGCUGGAGGUAUCAGAAGUGCGAAUGCUGACAUAAGUAACGAUAAAGCGGGUGAAAAGCCCGCUCGCCGGAAGACCAAGGGUUCCUGUCCAACGUUAAUCGGGGCAGGGUGAGUCGACCCCUAAGGCGAGGCCGAAAGGCGUAGUCGAUGGGAAACGGGUUAAUAUUCCCGUACUUGGUGUUACUGCGAAGGGGGGACGGAGAAGGCUAUGUUGGCCGGGCGACGGUUGUCCCGGUUUAAGCGUGUAGGUGUGUGUUCCAGGUAAAUCCGGUUCACUUUAACACUGAGGCGUGACGACGAGGCACUACGGUGCUGAAGCAACAAAUGCCCUGCUUCCAGGAAAAGCCUCUAAGCAUCAGGUAACAUCAAAUCGUACCCCAAACCGACACAGGUGGUCAGGUAGAGAAUACCAAGGCGCUUGAGAGAACUCGGGUGAAGGAACUAGGCAAAAUGGUGCCGUAACUUCGGGAGAAGGCACGCUGACACGUAGGUGAAGUGAUUUACUCAUGGAGCUGAAGUCAGUCGAAGAUACCAGCUGGCUGCAACUGUUUAUUAAAAACACAGCACUGUGCAAACACGAAAGUGGACGUAUACGGUGUGACGCCUGCCCGGUGCCGGAAGGUUAAUUGAUGGGGUCAGCGCAAGCGAAGCUCCUGAUCGAAGCCCCGGUAAACGGCGGCCGUAACUAUAACGGUCCUAAGGUAGCGAAAUUCCUUGUCGGGUAAGUUCCGACCUGCACGAAUGGCGUAAUGAUGGCCAGGCUGUCUCCACCCGAGACUCAGUGAAAUUGAACUCGCUGUGAAGAUGCAGUGUACCCGCGGCAAGACGGAAAGACCCCGUGAACCUUUACUAUAGCUUGACACUGAACAUUGAGCCUUGAUGUGUAGGAUAGGUGGGAGGCUUUGAAGUGUGGACGCCAGUCUGCAUGGAGCCGACCUUGAAAUACCACCCUUUAAUGUUUGAUGUUCUAACGUGGACCCGUUACCCGGGUUGCGGACAGUGUCUGGUGGGUAGUUUGACUGGGGCGGUCUCCUCC
rnacentral:rRNA from 1 species